rnacentral:snRNA from 1 species
GUGCUCACUUUGGCAGCACAUAUACUAAAAUUGGACCAAUACAGAGAAGAUUAGCAUGGCCCCUGCAUUAGGAUGACAUUCAAAUUCAUAGAGCAUUCCAUAUUUUUU